rnacentral:rRNA from 1 species
CUACGGGUUGCACCAGUGGGGAAUAUUGCACAAUGGAGGAAACUCUGAUGCAGCAACGCCGCGUGGAGGAUGACACUUUUCGGAGCGUAAACUCCUUUUAUAUAGGAAGAAGAUGACGGUACUAUAUGAAUAAGCGCCGGCUAACUCCGUGCCAGCAGCCGCGGUAAUACGGAGGGCGCAAGCGUUACUCGGAAUCACUGGGCGUAAAGAGCGUGUAGGCGGAUUAAAAAGUCAGAAGUGAAAUCCUAUAGCUUAACUAUAGAACUGCUUCUGAAACCCUUAAUCUAGAAUAUGGGAGAGGUAGAUGGAAUUUCUGGUGUAGGGGUAGAAUCCGUAGAGAUCAGAAGGAAUACCGAUUGCGAAGGCGAUCUACUAGAACAUUAUUGACGCUGAGACGCGAAAGCGUGGGGAGCAAACAGGAUUAGAUACCCUCGUAGUC